AACGUAGGAGACAAACGUUAUCCGGAGUUACUGGGCGUAAAGGGCGUGCAGGUGGUCUGUUAAGUCUGGCGUGAAAGCCCCUGGCUAAACCGGGAGAGGUCGUUGGAUACUGGCGGACUAGAGGACGGUAGAGGCGUGUGGAAUUCCGGGUGUAGUGGUGAAAUGCGUAGAGAUCCGGAGGAACACCAGUGGCGAAGGCGACACGCUGGGCCGUACCUGACACUGAUGCGCGACAGCAUGGGGAGCGAACGGG
rnacentral:rRNA from 1 species